rnacentral:lncRNA from 1 species
AAACGCAUCAGCCUUUCUCUCUUUACACCUUCUCUCUCUCUCUUUCUCUCUUAGAAACCAUGGCUGCCACUACAACCUCACCACCGGCGGGCGAAGCCCGGAGCACCCAUUGUCGACCUUCUUUCCUCCUUUCUCUCCCUCUCUUUCUCUUUAAAACCACCGGCAAAACCCCAUGCUCCCACAAGUUGCGUUACCGGCAAGACAGGAGAAGCCAAGCACCCAUCCCCACCGGUAAAUACACCACAUGCAGUUGACGGAAAUCCCCCUCUCCCCGCUCUCUUGUUCUCUAGUCUGCGCAGCCUUUUUUUUCCCCAUUUUGACUGACGCCACCACAACAACAAUAUCACCAACGACAGCAGUAGCCGGUGGAGCAGCCAUGGCGGUCGCCGCUACUCUGUUCUCCCUAUCCAUCGCUGUUUUUUUCAUUUAAACAAGCGUUGCAACCACCAACAGCCAUCAAAUAGUAGUUAUGCAGCCGAUCACCAACCAGCCCGCCUCACUCGUCCGAAAAUAAUCCCAGGUUUGAUUUUGUGUUGAUUUGUAUGUCUAAUUUUAAUUAUAUUCUAACUCCUUUUCUUUUUCUUUGGACAGAUUUUGUUGUCUGAAAUUGACGGAAGUUGAUUGAAAUUUUUGGUUUAAUUUCUGGUGAUUUGCGCUUGUUAACCUGCCUAGACUAUCAUAUGUAAAGGCCCUAAAUUUGCAUGAACUUGAUUUUUACCCUAGUUUUGAAUUAGGUAUUGGUUUUACUUGGUAUACUUGCUUAUUGAUUAUGUGUGAUUGAUUGGGAUUCUGUAUGUAUGCUUGCUUAUUCACCAAUUGACAAAGAGUUCGUCAUCGAUUGGGAUUCUAUGUGAGUGGAAUAACGAGCUGUCAUUCUGUACCUGCUAAUCGAUUUAAAUGCCUUGAUUGAAAUUGGAAUGACCCUAAUUAAUUUGAAUGUCAUGUUUAAGGGGAAAGAAUUUGCUAGUGGUUGAUAUUUUGUUUGCCUUUACUUAUUUUGAUAGAAUAUUAGUAGUUAGCGAAUAUGAGUGUAAUCUUAUAUUUAGGGGAAAACUUCAUUGAUUGAUUCCAUUGAUUAAUCAAUUGCUUUGAAUACUCUUCUCUCUUUGAUUGAAUACCAUUAAUGACGUUAUUUUAAUAAUUAUGUUAAUUUUGUAUCGAUAGGUUAUUCAAGUAUUUUUUAUUUACCUUGACUGAACAUUUCCUGAUUAUUAAUUGAUACAAUUUUUGAUGGAAAUUUUCCUUAACUGAUUGUAACUAAUAUUUUCUUUUCAUUUUCUGUGAUGACUUUACUUACUCAAUUGCGUGAUUUUUUUCCUUUUCCUGAAGACAACUUAAUUGAUUAAGGAAGAGAAAUAUUUUAAUUGAUUUUUAGAAUAUUUUUCUCUCUUAAAUUACGUGUCAUCCCUACUAUAUAAACCCAAUCCCUUCCUUCAUACAGGACAGACCUCUCUAGCUAGUGUUAUUAUUCCCUCUUCCUGAUUACUAGCUACUUUAAUACAAAGGAUAAAAUAUUUUCUCAAUUUACUUGGUGUUUUAAGAUUUUGACGAACCAUUUGGCUUACUUUACUGCUGCAAUUUCUUUGCUUAACAGCUUCUUUAUUACUUUUGUUGCUCACCGGUAAGCAUCUAAAUGAUGCAUUUAUUUUCUUAGUUUUAUGUGACGACUUUGUUGUGUUGUGGAACCAUUAGAGAACAUGCCAAUAGGACUUAUUCGAUUUGUGUUACUAUGACUGUGUUUUGGUCCAUGUGUGGUGUACUUUUUUGGCUUUGUUGUUUCGUUCAUUUCUAACAGUUACAACUAUAUAUUGUGGAAUUCGAAGAGUCGCUCGGGAAUGUGAUGGGGCUGGUUGCUUUAGUUUAGUUUAGUUUAGUUUAGUUUAUUUAGUAUGUAGGAAGUUAUUGUACAAAUAUUAUUCUGUGUAAUAAUAAAUUUGGAGACUGCUUGGGGACGGGAAUUUAUGUGCUCUAUGAAUCGCGUAGGCAAACACAACUUAGAUUUAUGUGCUUUUACGUGCUAUGUGAACCACUUAGGCAAACAUAAUUUACGUUAAUUAAUCAAUUUAUUUGGAAUCUAGAGGGCAUGUUUUAGGAUUAAUCACUAAUUAAAACCAACUCUAAGUAUGUAAUUAACUUGUACCCUGCAUUAAAUGUGUUCAAGACAGUUUUCGGCAUUUAGUUUAAC